rnacentral:rRNA from 1 species
UACAGAGGUCUCAAGCGUUGUUCGGAUUCAUUGGGCGUAAAGGGUGCGUAGGUGGUGGGGUAAGUCGGAUGUGAAAUCCCGGGGCUCAACCCCGGAACUGCCUUUGAUACAGCACGUCUUGAGUCCGGAAGAGGUGGGUGGAAUUCCUAGUGUAGAGGUGAAAUUCGUAGAUAUUAGGAAGAACACCGGUGGCGAAGGCGGCCCACUGGUCCGGUACUGACGCUGAGGUGCGAAAGCGUGGGGAGCAAACAGG